rnacentral:rRNA from 1 species
UACGAAGGGGGCUAGCGUUGUUCGGAAUUACUGGGCGUAAAGCGCACGUAGGCGGCGCGUCAAGUCAGGGGUGAAAGGCCUGGGCUCAACCCGGGAACUGCCUUUGAGACUGGCGUGCUGGAGUCCGGAAGAGGGUGGCGGAAUUCCCAGUGUAGAGGUGAAAUUCGUAGAUAUUGGGAAGAACACCGGUUGCGAAGGCGGCCACCUGGUCCGGUACUGACGCUGAGGUGCGAAAGCGUGGGGAGCAAACAGGAUUAGAAACCCCUGUAGU